GACGAACGCUGGCGGCGUGCUUAACACAUGCAAGUCGAACGGAAAGGCCCUGCUUUUGUGGGGUGCUCGAGUGGCGAACGGGUGAGUAACACGUGAGUAACCUGCCCUUGACUUUGGGAUAACUUCAGGAAACUGGGGCUAAUACCGGAUAGGAGCUCCUGCUGCAUGGUGGGGGUUGGAAAGUUUCGGCGGUUGGGGAUGGACUCGCGGCUUAUCAGCUUGUUGGUGGGGUAGUGGCUUACCAAGGCUUUGACGGGUAGCCGGCCUGAGAGGGUGACCGGCAACAUGGGGAAGGAGAAAGGGCCAAGACGCCUAGGGGAGGAAGAGGGGGGGAAUAUGGCAAAGGGGGGGGAGGCCGGAGGCGGCAACGCGGGGGGGGGGAUGGGGGCUUUGGGGUUGUAAACCGCUUGCGCCUGUGACGAAGGGGGAGUGAGUGAAAUGGGUAAAGAAGAACCGGCUAACAACGUG
rnacentral:rRNA from 1 species